UCAGCCACACUGGGACUGAGACACGGCCCAAACUCCUACGGGAGGCAGCAGUGGGGAAUAUUGCACAAUGGGCGCAAGCCUGAUGCAGCCAUGCCGCGUGUAUGAAGAAGGCCCUAGGGUUGUAAAGUACUUUCAGUCGGGAGGAAGGCGUUGUUGCUAAUAUCAACAACGAUUGACGUUACCGACAGAAGAAGCACCGGCUAACUCCGUGCCAGCAGCCGCGGUAAUACGGAGGGUGCAAGCGUUAAUCGGAAUUACUGGGCGUAAAGCGCACGCAGGCGGUUGAUUAAGUUAGAUAUGAAAUCCCCGGGCUUAACCUGGGAAUGGCAUCUAAAACUGGUCAGCUAUAGUCUUGUACAGGGGGGGUAUAAUUCCAUGUGUAUCGGUGAAAUGCGUAUAGAUGUGUGAGGAAUACCGGUGGCGAAAGCGGCCCCCUGGACAAAGACUGACGCUCAGGUGCGAAAGCGUGGGGAGCAAACAGGAUUAGAUACCCCUGGUAGUCCACGCUGUAAACGAUGUCUAUUUGAAGGUUGUUCCCUAUAGGACUGGCUUUCCGAGCUAACGCGUUAAAUCUACCGCCUGGGGGAGUACGGCCGCAAAGUUAAAACUCAAAUGAAUUUGACGGGGGCCCCGCACAAACCGGUGGAAGCAAGGUGGUUUUAAUUUCUAUGCAACGCGAAAAAACCUUACCUACUCUUGACAUCCCGAGAAAUUUAGCAAAAAAUUCUUUUGUUGCCUUCCGGAAACUAUGAAGACAGAUGCUGCCAUGGCCGUGGUCAGCUUCUGUUGUUGAAAAUGUUUGGGUUUAAGUCCCGCAA
rnacentral:rRNA from 1 species